CUACGGGUGGCUGCAGUGGGGAAUAUUGGACAAUGGGGGCAACCCUGAUCCAGCCAUGCCGCGUGUGUGAAGAAGGCCUUAGGGUUGUAAAGCACUUUCAGAUGUGAGGAAAGGUGUGUGCUUAAUACGUACAUGCUGUGACGUUAGCAUCAGAAGAAGGACCGGCUAACUCCGUGCCAGCAGCCGCGGUAAUACGGAGGGUCCGAGCGUGUAAUCGGAAUUACUGGGCGUAAAGCGCGCGUAGGUGGUUUCGUCAGUCAGAUGUGAAAGCCCCGGGCUCAACCUGGGAAUUGCACCUGAUACUGCGGGACUAGAGUACGAUAGAGGGGAGUGGAAUUUCCGGUGUAGCGGUGAAAUGCGUAGAGAUCGGAAGGAACACCAGUGGCGAAGGCGACUCCCUGGAUUGAUACUGACACUGAGGUGCGAAAGCGUGGGGAGCAAACAGGAUUAGAUACCCCCGUAGUC
rnacentral:rRNA from 1 species